UAUAACCCCUUUUGUGUAUUUAUAUAUUGUUUUUUAAUUUUAUGGAAUACAUAAUAAUGUGAGUAUUUUGGACAAAAUAUAGAUUAAGAAUCCGAGUAAAAAACAAAAAUCAAAGAGAGUGAUACUGCCAUUCCUAUUUCAAAAAAAAAAAAAAAAUUUGUUUCUAACCCUUCAGCACGCGAGCCCUGAAACCAUAUCGACUGCUAGUUUCAGUGAUAAAUAAAACUAUGGCAAGAUUAUUUUAGAGCCUAGCACUGGAUCAGAAACAAGCAUUCUUGAGAAUUCUCUCUUAUUCAUAGAGAAACAAGGGAGAAGAAACUCCCUCUUAUAACACAUUACAGCAUUUUUUUCUCGGGCUUAUGAUUAUUCACUCCACCUAUAUUGCUGCCUUCCUUCGAGUCCCUUCUCAUUUUUCUUUUUCUGUACAUCAGAAGAAUCCAAAUCAUCAGCUUCUUUAGGGGAAGAUGUGAAGAAAAAGCACCCAGUUAUUAGCUAUCUGUUGCUGAUAAUCAAGUAAUGGUAUCUUUGAGAACACCAUUUUCUUUUACUGGUCCAACAUCUUCACGCAUGUUUUUGUUAAUUUAGCUGACGAAGAACACGUCGCAAGCAAGGUUCUAUACAAACCAUGACUCUCUAUCCCUAAAAUAUACCUCUGGGCUGUAAGGGUAAAAGGGUCAAAGGCAAAGCCAGGAAUUUUGUAAAGUUAUUCCUAAUUCCGCAUCCUUCUAGGGUAUUGUGAGGUAGAGAAUUUGUUUCAUGGCCCGCCCCUUUAAGAAGAGGGUUUUGUGUGAAAUCUUGCUUAUUAUCAGUAAGACCAAGAAUCCAGAGAUACAAGGAUGGAGGCCAGGCAACAAGUAGGAUGGUGGCUGCCUGUGCUGUCUGGACACCCAUGACAUGAUUAGAGAAAACUGUAAAAUAAGUUUUAAAUAGGCAAAAAAAAAAAAAAACCCUCCAAAAGAUGCUUGCAGAUGAAUUUGUCAUCUUUUAGGCCCAGUUAAAGAGGGAAACCGGAUGGUUAUUCUUUGCUGAUUGAACAGCUAGUGCAGUUGUCCAACCAUGAUUUAAGAGAUAUGCUCGUGAACUUCUAUAAUUCAAAAUAUUUACGGUGCUUACAAAAUAUAACCAGUAGUUAUAUCCUAUAAGUACUCUCUAAACUUAAGGACCCACCAAAAAUGACAAGAUUAUUUAUAUAUUUCUUUUCCUUUAAAGUGGCAUAAAGAGUAACUAUUUGGGUGUCACUAGUUGCUGUUCGGGCACUAUAAAAUUUCUCCAUCUCUAGGGAUGCCAAGGUGAGAGGCAAUGCAAUUAAAGAAUCAGACCACAUGCAGCUAAAUUGGUUCAUUGACAUCUUAAUUAUUACUGUUAGAUUUAACAGAUAAGCAAUAGCAUGUCUUAUUGCUACAGCAAGUUGGAUGAAAUAAUGGCCAAAGAUACAGCACAUAAUAUGUUCAAACAAACCACACAAAGAAUGGAAUCAAACAAAAAAGUGACACUGAAGUUUGGAAUAUUAACAAAAUUAGUCACCCAUAAGCAAAAUCAUCCAAUUCUCCCAAAAGUUCUAUGUUCAUAAUACCAAAGGUAGAAAGAAAAUGCCAAACAUCAAUGAGAUGAUGCUAACAAGCCAAGCUACUGGACAAGAAACAGAGCAAACAAGUAGACAUUAA